UUUUCUCUUCUGCCCAUAAAAGUCUUCUGUUUUGUACAGCUCCUUGGAACUCUUUUCUACUUGCUGGAUGGGAUGCUGCCUGAUUCACGAAUUGCUGAAUAAAUGUACUUAAAUCUUCAAAUUUACUCAGAGAGAGAGACAGCAAGAGAAGGAACACAAGCAGGCGGAGUGGGAAAGGGAGAAGCCAGCUUCCCUCGGAGCAGGAAGCCCAACACGGGGCUCAAUCCGAGGACCCUGGAAUCAUGACCUGAGCUGAAGGCAGACGCUUAAUGACUGAGCCACCCAGGUGCCUCCAGAAAAUAAAUGUUAAUAUAAUGUAA